GCAGUAGCCGCGGUAAUACGAGGGGGGCAAGCGUUGUUCGGAUUUAUUGGGCGUAAAGGGUGCGUAGGCGGUUUGGCAAGUCUUAUGUGAAAUCUUCGGGCUCAACCCGAAGCCUGCAUAAGAAACUGCCGGGCUUGAGUAUGGGAGAGGUGAGUGGAAUUUCCGGUGUAGCGGUGAAAUGCGUAGAUAUCGGAAGGAACACCUGUGGCGAAAGCGGCUCACUGGACCAUAACUGACGCUGAGGCACGAAAGCUAGGGGAGCGAACAGGAUUAGAUACCCCUGUAGUCCCUGUCUCUUAUAC
rnacentral:rRNA from 1 species